rnacentral:rRNA from 1 species
UAGGGAAUCUUCGGCAAUGGACGGAAGUGUGACCGAGCAACGCCGCGUGAUUGAAGAAGGUUUUCGGAUCGUAAAGCUCUGUUGUUAGAGAAGAACGUUGGUAGGAGUGGAAAAUCUACCAAGUGACGGUAACUAACCAGAAAGGGACGGCUAACUACGUGCCAGCAGCCGCGGUAAUACGUAGGUCCCGAGCGUUGUCCGGAUUUAUUGGGCGUAAAGCGAGCGCAGGCGGUUCUUUAAGUCUGAAGUUAAAGGCAGUGGCUUAACCAUUGUACGCUUUGGAAACUGGAGGAAUUGAGUGCAGAAGGGGAGAGUGGAAUUCCAUGUGUCACGGUGAAAUGCGUAGAUAUAUGGAGGAACACCGGUGGCGAAAGCGGCUCUCUGGUCUGUAACUGACGCUGAGGCUUGAAAGCGUGGGGAGCAAACAGG